rnacentral:rRNA from 1 species
UACGUAGGGUGCAAGCGUUAAUCGGAAUUACUGGGCGUAAAGCGUGCGCAGGCGGUGAUGUAAGACAGGUGUGAAAUCCCCGGGCUUAACCUGGGAACUGCAUUGGUGACUGCACGGCUAGAGUGUGUCAGAGGGGGGUAGAAUUCCACGUGUAGCAGUGAAAUGCGUAGAGAUGUGGAGGAAUACCGAUGGCGAAGGCAGCCCCCUGGGAUAACACUGACGCUCAUGCACGAAAGCGUGGGGAGCAAACAGG